GGUCAUUGACCUCACCGGAGUUUUACCGUGGUUCAGGCUCCUAACGACACAAGACUUUGCUGCAAUAUGUCAUCUGACGAUGAUGAAAGGAAUAUGAUGAUAAUAACAUUGUU